rnacentral:rRNA from 1 species
AAAAAAGGUAAGCUACUAAGAGCGAAUGGUGGAUGCCUUGACUGGUAAAGGCGAUGAAGGACGUACUAGACUGCGAUAAGCUACGGGGAGCUGUCAAGAAGCUUUGAUCCGUAGAUUUCCGAAUGGGGCAACCCAAUGUAUAGAGAUAUACAUUACCUAUAUAGGAGCGAACGAGGGGAAUUGAAACAUCUUAGUACCCUCAGGAAAAGAAAUCAAUAGAGAUUGCGUCAGUAGCGGCGAGCGAAAGCGCAAGAGGGCAAACCCAGUGCUUGCACUGGGGGUUGUAGGACUGCAAUGUGCAAGAGGUAAGUUUAGCAGAACAUUCUGGAAAGUAUAGCCAUAGAGGGUGAUAGUCCCGUAUGCGAAAAACAAACCUUAGCUAGCAGUAUCCUGAGUAGGGCGGGACACGAGGAAUCCUGUCUGAAUCCGGGUCGACCACGAUCCAACCCUAAAUACUAAUACCAGAUCGAUAGUGCACAAGUACCGUGAGGGAAAGGUGAAAAGAACUGAGGUGAUCAGAGUGAAAUAGAACCUGAAACCAUUUGCUUACAAUCAUUCAGAGCCCUAUGUAGCAAUACAGGGUGAUGGACUGCCUUUUGCAUAAUGAGCCUGCGAGUUGUGGUGUCUGGCAAGGUUAAGCAAACGCGAAGCCGUAGCGAAAGCGAGUCUGAAUAGGGCGCUUAGUCAGAUGCUGCAGACCCGAAACGAAGUGAUCUAUCCAUGAGCAAGUUGAAGCUAGUGUAAGAACUAGUGGAGGACUGAACCCAUAGGCGUUGAAAAGCCCCGGGAUGACUUGUGGAUAGGGGUGAAAGGCCAAUCAAACUUCGUGAUAGCUGGUUCUCUCCGAAAUAUAUUUAGGUAUAGCGUUGUGUCGUAAUAUAAGGGGGUAGAGCACUGAAUGGGCUAGGGCAUACACCAAUGUACCAAACCCUAUCAAACUCCGAAUACCUUAUAUGUAAUCACAGCAGUCAGGCGGCGAGUGAUAAAAUCCGUCGUCAAGAGGGAAACAACCCAGACUACCAGCUAAGGUCCCUAAGUCUUACUUAAGUGGAAAACGAUGUGAAGUUACUUAAACAACCAGGAGGUUGGCUUAGAAGCAGCCAUCCUUUAAAGAAAGCGUAAUAGCUCACUGGUCUAGUGAUUUUGCGCGGAAAAUAUAACGGGGCUAAAGUAAGUACCGAAGCUGUAGACUUGCACACAACUUAGAUUAUUUAAGUUUAGAAUAAGUAGUUUAAGUUGUGUGCAAGUGGUAGGAGAGCGUUCUAUUUGCGUCGAAGGUAUACCGGUAAGGAGUGCUGGAGCGAAUAGAAGUGAGCAUGCAGGCAUGAGUAGCGAUAAUUAAUGUGAGAAUCAUUAACGCCGUAAACCCAAGGUUUCCUACGCGAUGCUCGUCAUCGUAGGGUUAGUCGGGUCCUAAGUCGAGUCCGAAAGGGGUAGACGAUGGCAAAUUGGUUAAUAUUCCAAUACCAACAUUAGUGUGCGAUGGAAGGACGCUUAGGGCUAAGGGGGCUAGCGGAUGGAAGUGCUAGUCUAAGGUCGUAGGAGGUUAUACAGGCAAAUCCGUAUAACAAUACUCCGAGAACUGAAAGGCUUUUUGAAGUCUUCGGAUGGAUAGAAGAACCCCUGAUGCCGUCGAGCCAAGAAAAGUUUCUAAGUUUAGCUAAUGUUGCCCGUACCGUAAACCGACACAGGUGGGUGGGAUGAGUAUUCUAAGGCGCGUGGAAGAACUCUCUUUAAGGAACUCUGCAAAAUAGCACCGUAUCUUC